CCCUGAGUGGCACAAAUGGUUAACACACUUGGCUGCUAACCAAAAGGUUGGAGGUUCAAGUCCACCCACAGGCA
rnacentral:tRNA from 1 species